GACUGACAUCAGGGCUCAGUACAAAAAGUGGUCCAGUCCUACCAGCUUGUGCACAAGUAAAUAGGCUUGGGGAAAGAGGACUGUGGCAGGAGGAAUACUACCUCUGUGGCAGAGAGAGGUAGAAGCAACGUGCAGACUACCAAUUCCCUGGAAACAGUCAUCAUGUCGUCCCUCAAGUACAUUCAGUACCACGGCCUUCUCCUGCCCACUGUGGCCCACAGUGCAGAGAGCCUGGAGUAUGCCCAAAAUUUCUCUGUGGAAGACACCGAUGUUUUUGCUGUGACUUAUCCCAAGUCAGGUACUAUCUGGAUGCAGGAGAUCCUUCCGUUGCUGCUUAAUGGAGGAGAUCUGACUCCAAUCCAGACUGUUGUAAACUGGGACCGGGUCCCAUGGCUGGAAGAGAAAAGAUUGGCUGAGGUUGCAGAUAAGCUGACAUCUCCACGUGCUCUGGUCACACAUUUUCCCUACAGCUUCAUGCCCCCUUCAUUCCACACCUCCAAAGCCAAGGUGAUCUGUGUGAUGAGGAACCCAAAGGACAUCUUGGUGUCUUCAUACUACUUCCAUCAGAUGGCGACCUUUCUCGAGGAUCCAGGGACUUUUGAUGAGUUCUUGGAGAAGUUCCUGGAAGGCAGAGUGCUGUUUGGGAAGUGGACAGACCAUGUGAAGAGCUGGAGGCGUGCAGAGCUGGGAGACAGAAUUAUGUUCAUCACUUAUGAAGAAAUGGUUCAGGACCUGCCUGCAGCUUUAAGGCGUAUGUCAGACUUCUUGUGCUGUAAUCUGAGUGACGAAGUCGUUCUGAAGAUAGCAGAGCAUUGUUCUUUUAAGACUAUGAAAGCCAACAGAAUGUCCAACUUCAGCCUGGUUCCCAAAGAUUAUGUGGACAGUGACAAGUCUACUUUCUUCAGGAAAGGUUUAUGCUGUAUGAUCAGUAAAACAUCAGUUUGUGCUAAUUUCUACAUGACUACUCUAGGCGGCUUCACUAAUCAAGGCUGGGCAGCUGAGGUGAAUCGGGCUCAUCAGACGGCUGCAUAAAGAUUCCAGGAUCUUCUCUAGUCUUCGCUGCAUCGUACAACUAAUAGUGCACCCUGCCCUUGAUUGUACAACGGACUCGUGGAAUCCUGUCUGCCCGCUCUCUGCCUGCCUUCUCCUCGCCUUGAGUCACACUGGAACUCACCUGACUUCUCACAAUCGCUUUGUAAAUAAACACUCACUAAUUCUAAACUGUGUGCUCUCCUCCUUGGGUCCUAAACCAGAUUCCGACCGAACGAUCCAGCCACCAACAUGGACCCAGUGGGAAAGUCUUCUGCGGAUGCUGGCAAACCCGACUCUGCCGGAGAAUUGUUUUUUGCCGUUUCUUCUCAAGGAAAUCUGCUCGGACAACAUUCUUAGACACGCUGAAGGACGAGCUGGUGACCCGAGAUCUUCCGGAGGAUCUCGAUGACCUAAUCGAUUUGGCCAUUUGUUUGGACAACCGUCUUCGGGAGAGGCGUCGGGACCAUAGGGGGUCCCGGUCUGUGCCGGUUCAAGGAGAUGACACGACAUCCACGCCCCAUCCUUCCCUGGUUUCUUCGGCUUCGUUCCUCUCUACCAAGGAGCCAAUGCAGGUGGAGCGGGCUCAUCUGGCUCUGGCCGAACGCCAGAAAAGGCUGCGGGCUGAACCUGACCGAACAUAAGGUCCACGUCAGACAGGUGCUGCAGCGGUUGCUGGAAAACAGGCUCUAUGUGAAGGCAGAGAAGUGCCAGUUCAAUUCGGACACCGUCAGCUUUCUGGGAUACAUCUUCAUGAGCGGGCAGAUGAAGACCGACCCGAAGAAGGUUAAAGCAGUGCAGGAGUGGCCCAGGCCGGAUACCAUGAAGCAGUUACAGCGUUUUCUGGAUUUCGCCAACUUCUAUCGGCGCUUCAUCAGGAACUUCAGCCAGGCCCUGAUCCAAAAAUGUCAAGCCAGACGCCCUGUCUCGACGGUUCUGUCCCGAUGACCCGUCCGCCGAUCCUGGUCCCAUCCUGCCUGCGUCCUGUAUUAUCGCGGCGGUCACCUGGGAGGUUGAACAGAACGUCCGUGAUGCUCAAUGCGCGCAGCCUGAUCCAGGUACCGGUCCCCCUGACAAACUGUUUGUUCCAGAUAACGUCCAAUCCCACGUCAUCCAGUGGGGUCACUCCUCCCGAGUGGCUUGUCAUCCUGGUGUUGCCCGGACCUCAGCACUCAUCCGGAGGCGCUUCCGGUGGCCCACGCUGGAAAAGGACAUCCGGGAAUAUGUGGCUGCCUGUCCCAUCUGCGUGCGAGGAAAAGCCUCCUCUAAGGUCCCUGUUGGACUUCUUCGACCACUUCCUGUCCCCGAGAGGCCCUGGUCUCAUAUCGCCUUAGAUCCUGACACUCCUAAACUGAUUAUGUAUGUAUAAUUUUUGCAUCUUGAGUUCUCCAUCAUUAAGUGUUCUGCCCAUGCAAUGUUUCCGUAGUAAGUUCAUACUGUAUCAUUUUGUAAACCUGCCUCGUUUGCUUUGCUUGAUGUACACAAUUACUGAACAAUAAUAAUAAAUUGAUGAAUACAGUUUGCAACCUGCCUAAAAAAUCCAGAUGAGUCACUAAAGGUCAGACAUGUUGAUGAAGUUCUCAGACUUUACAAAUAGUGUACAGGCUACUACAAAUUCACCAUAGUUAAUGUUUUUAUUCAUCUUUUUUAACAUGAAAUAAACAGUAACACCAAAGAAAGCUUCAUUUUUGUUAAAUGACUCAUUAUUUCAUGUCACAUCAAAAUUCAACACAUUAUGCAAACUGCUGAUGUACG